UACAGAGGUGGCGAGCGUUGUUCGGAUUUAUUGGGCGUAAAGGGUCCGUAGGCGGUUUGGAAAGUUGGAUGUGAAAUCCUGCAGCUUAACUGCAGAACUGCAUUCAAAACUUCCAGACUCGAGUUUGAGAGGGGUAAAGGGAAUUCCCGGUGUAAGGGUGAAAUCUGCAGAUAUCGGGAAGAACACCAGUCGCGAAGGCGCUUUACUGGCUCACAACUGACGCUGAGGGACGAAAGCUAGGGGAGCAAACGGG
rnacentral:rRNA from 1 species